ensembl:lncRNA
CAUCUGAUAGGGAACAGACUAGUAGUGUCAGAAGGUCAUCUGAUAGGGAACAGACUAGUAGUGUCGGAAGGUCAUCUGAUAGGGAACAGACUAGUAGUGUCAGAAGGUCAUCUGAUAGGGAACAGACUAGUAGUGUCAGAAGGUCAUCUGAUAGGGAACAGACGAGUAGUGUCGGAAGGUCAUCUGAUAGGGAACAGACUAGUAGUGUCGGAAGGUCAUCUGAUAGGGAACAGACUAGUAGUGUCAGAAGGUCAUCUGAUAGGGAACAGACUAGUAGUGUCAGAAGGUCAUCUGAUAGGGAACAGACGAGUAGUGUCGGAAGGUCAUCUGAUAGGGAACAGACUA